rnacentral:rRNA from 1 species
UAUGGUUCCUUUGAUCGUCACAUCCUACAUGGAUAACUGUGGUAAUUCUAGAGCUAAUACAUGCGGAAGAAGCGCCGACCUCACGGUCUGGCGUGCAUUUAUCAGACCAAGACCAACCCGGGGUUCGCCCCGGUCCCUUUGGUGACUCUGGAUAACCCAGCCGAUCGCACGGUCUUCGCACCGGCGACAGAUCAUUCGAAUGUCUGCCCUAUCAACUUUCGAUGGUAGGUUCUGUGCCUACCAUGGUGGCAACGGGUGACGGGGAAUCAGGGUUCGGUUCCGGAGAGGGAGCCUGAGAAACGGCUACCACA